GAAGAAAGGCAAACUUUCCUGCCAGCAUUUGGAAUCACUGAAUGAACCUUUCUUGGCAGGACGAGAGCACCGGACCGGAUUCAAACUCUGGUUCCUGUUGUGCGGCUCAAGCAACGACGAGGUGCGCAAACUGUUGUGCACCUCGCUGCCGCCCGCCGCUCUCCCUGAGAACCAGCAGUUUCAAGUGGAAGAGAGGCGUACGUGGUGCACCACACAUUCUCGUUUUGACGACGCAAGAUGUGCGAGAACUGAAUGGCAGUAGAUGGGAUCUGUAACUCAACCGCGCUAUGCAAAUGCCUCUUCGUCCCCCUCCACCUCCUCCUCCUCCUCCUCCCCUCAUGCUCCUUCCUCCACCUCCACUAGGCGCUCAGGCGCACCGACCUGUAUAUAUAGGCUGAUCUCGGAGAGCCUAUCCGACCCGGGCGGGUUGCGCGCACUCUGGUCGGGAUGCUGGUCCAACAACCUAAAAACACGUGAGCUGAGCUGAUGAGACGACUUGAUCGCGAAUUCGGAUGAUGGGGUUUCUCUCUAUAGCUGUAGUGCGCUCAAAUGUGUAUUUUUAAUUUUUUUUUUUCCCUCCCUCUCACGGUGGCUCCUGGACUCCUCCUCCUCCCCCUAGCCUCCCUCCCUCCCUCCCUCCCUCACUCACUCCUCCCUCCUCCUCCCCCCUUUCUCUUUUCGCAACAUUGACGCAACCAAAAAAUACUGGAACAAAAGAAACAACUUCCUUGAAGCUUUGCUGAAACUGCACUUAGUCGGAGAAUGGCAGCUUGCUGUCAACUUGCCUCGCUCGGGUGGGAAACAUCGAGGUGAGGGGUGGCCCGGCUGGCAGCGACUGAGUGAAGAGAGAGCGAGAGAGAGAGAGCGGGAGAGAGAGAGAGAGAGAGAUGCGGGCGAAGACUCCGGAAUAGACAACCGAAUGGAGACGUAAGACGUGGAUGCUGAUCGUCUCCGCCCUCUAACUUAGAUGAAUCCAUGAUGCGGAUUUGAAGCGCGGGCCAAAGAGGAGGAGCAGAUCUUUCUGGUGACGUUGUAGCAGCACAGAAUGGUUUGUGGGUUACUCUGAGAUGCAGGCCAUACCGUGCUGCCGCAAUAAAGCCUGAAUAACACAACAUGCAAGCGAUCAGCUUUAAGCCCCUCCAGAUGCCUUUGAUGACCACUGGCUGCCUGAGCUCAUGUUAUCCAGAUAGAUGUGUUGCUGAUGACGAUGAUGAAACGGUUCCAGGGCAUUUAUCAUUCUGACUCGCUGGUCGCCUUACUGUAGCAGCACGUAAAUAUUGGAGUUAAGACUAGCUGAAGUCUCCAGUAUUGAUCGUGCUGCUGAAGCAAAGCUGACCACUCGCACACUCUGAAUGCUCUCAGACCCUCUGUAGGUGAUGAUGGGUUACAUUACAUGGAAUUACAUUUUUUAUGUUUAUUUUCAAUUAACUGUUCUGUUUGAAGAUUUUAAGCCUAUCUUGUUAUAUGUGAAUAUUUUUGAGAAAUAAAAACAUUAACUGAUCUCGUUUGUGUUUUUUUUUUUUUUUUUUUUCCUAAUAACGGCAUGCUUUAAUUUUAUGUUAACUUUUUUUUUGUUCGCUACAGUAACACUAAACACGUUACAAGUGCUGACUCUUAAUAUUUUUCCACUGUUGUCCCAGAAUUACAGCCGCUAAGCAGAGGUGCUCACCGGGGCCUGUAUGGCCUCUGCUGCGCUGCUCAGAUGGUCGUCUGAUCAGUUUAUACAAACAGAAGUAUCUGAUUUAAACAUUGAAUUCGUUAGGGUUUUCUUCCCGAGUUUUUAAGAAUAAAAACUGGAUUUUUAUCAUGACACUCGUGUAUUUUUGAGUGAUCUUGCACUUUUAAGUAUUUGCGGCCGCUAUAAAUCCCCCAACGUAGAGGACAGUCUACGGUUACGUGAAAUCCUGCGGUUUCGUAACUCGUCAUCCCCCCUUCCCCGCUACCAGACUCCAUUUUAAGCGCAGUUGGACGCGAAAGCGUUUCAUGCAUUAGCUAUGCGCUCAGAAUAUUACUGGCAAUAAUCUCAAAUUUGAUUCACCAAUACUUUUUUUUUUUUUUUGCCUUGUGGGUUGUGAAAAUUACGCCCUUUCCCCUUUUUUUCUAAAAUAUAUACACUUGUAUGAAAUGGAAGAUAUUAAAAGCUAUAUAACACCUGCUUCACAAAUAUUAAAACUUCCCUUUGAUAUCUAAAUUAAAAAGUGACCUUUUUCUGCUGGUUUAUUAAAUAAUUACAUUUUCAUUAACAAACAAGAUUUUCGUAACUUAGUCUUGAGUGCGGGGCCGAUAUUUUGUCCGCUUUAUAGCGUUUAUAUUCACUCCGGCCUUUUCGGGCCUCUUCAUAUAUAUAUAUUUAUAUUAAAAAUAAAAUAAUAGCCUAUUAAACGUCAUAAUCAUUUAAGUAAAUGUUACUUUUUUUACAAAUAAAAAAUCCGGAAUUCAUUUUAAUGCAGAAAUAUUUGCGGUUUUAUGUAAAAAGCCCGUUUCACCUUGAAGUCACCGUGCUGAAAAUAUGGCCUAUAUUUUAAUGUUUUACUUUGAAGCGAAUUGCCUGUAUUUUUACAUUUCUCCAGACACUCUUAAAUACCGACUGAUCAUUAUAACGUGACAAAACUAAACAUGUCCACAUAAAAAUAUUCAAAUUCUUAAUUUUCGAGCUGUAACGUAGCAAUUUUCCUUUACACUGAUUUUAUUAUUAAAAAUCGCCUGUUUUAAGUUUGUGAAACCUUUUAAAAUAUUCUUCGGUGUGAUUAAAAUAACAGUUUUCCCCGUCAUUACACUUCCCCUUAGCGUUCACGUGAAUAAAUACAUUGCGCCAUUUUGUUCUAAAUUUUGGUUUUACUUUUCUGGUGUGUAAUCUGCACGCAAAGAAGUGCACUAUUCAUCCUGACAAUAUAUUUUUUUUUUAACAGACCUUGGUACUCAGGUUUCAUAACUGGGAAAGAGGCUUAUUCCUAACCUCUAUAUUGCGCAUAUUUAUUUAUUAACUGGAGGGCUUUGCGCUUUGUCUUUUUGUUAUGCCAUGAAUAUAGCUUCACCUUUUAGUUUUUAUAUAGGAAAAAAAACAUGAAUUAUAUAAAAAAGGUGGCAUGGGAUUUUAAAUAUUAAUGCCCCAUCCUAUAUUUGCCUGGCAACAGUAAGCUAUAUAUGUUAUGGGCUUAUGUACAGAUCUAUGUGACGUAUAUGCGGUCUUUGCUGACAUCACUGCUUCACUUCAUGGUCUGUCACCCCCCCUCCCCCCCUUCCACAUAAGGGAUCCCCGCAUAUACCAGAGUAAAAAAUAAAUAAAUUUAAGUGAUUCUAAUAAUUCCCGCCUUAAUUGUGUGAUCUGACCUCUUUUUCAAUACACACUGCUGGUGGGGAAAACAAUCUCCAAUCCGAAAUGUGCAGAAUUUUCCUUGCGUUGCCACUGCUCACAUAAAUACAUUUUUUUUUUAAAUCAAGAUUUUUAGGGAGUAAAUUAUGUUCUGCGCCAUUUAUUUAAACAAGGGAGCACCUUCUAGAUUUCGCACUGCCAGCCGUGAAACGAAAGAGCCGCAGAAGAUCAGAUCUGAUUUUUACAAGAAAAAAAAAAAACAAGUGGGCUUAUCAGCAUUUAUUAAGUGCUGAGGUUGAGCAUCUGACUGCUGCUACACGUUGAGCAAUUUUUCUGAAAACAUGACCGAGCAGUGUCUUCGUACCUUCCUCUGCAGCCCGCUGAAUAUUUCACACGGGCCCUGUUACGUAACGAUUGUAACCUUGAAGAGGUUGCAGCAUCACUGUGGCGCGCGGAGCGCUGAGUUUCUCCCAUCAUCACAGCGGCAGCCUGAUCUCACCCUGUCGCUCUGAAGGAAAACAACCAUAGCAGUGACUCGGGGAUUUUUCAAAUUUAUUUUCCAAAAUUCAAGUAAAAAAAAAAAAAUAUCGUUAGUGUACAAAAUUAAAUGAAUAAAAAAGAAAACAUAAUUAGGUUUAGACUGCCUCUGAGGAUUUAGAAGAGGAUUGUUUGAUUUUCAGGCUUCAUUAAGGACCAAAGGUUAAAAAAAAAAAA